AUUGAACGCUGGCGGCAGGCCUAACACAUGCAAGUCGAGCGAGCGGCGGACGGGGGAGUAAUGUAUGGGGACUGCCCGAAAGAGGGGGAAAACUACUGGAAACGGUAGCUAAUACCGCAUACUAUCGGAUAACCCAUAUUGGAUUAGCGAGUAGGUGAGGGAAUGGCUCACCUAGGCGACGAUCCCUAGCUGGUCUGAGAGGAUGAUCAGCCACACGGGGACGUAGACACGGCCCAGCCUCCUACGGAGGCAGCAGUGGGGAAUAUUGCAGAAUGGGCGCAAGCCUGUUGCAGCCAUGCCGCGUGUAUGAAGAAGGCCCUCGGGUUGUAAAGUACUUUCAGUCGGGAGGCGUUACCGACAGAAGAAGCACCGGCUAACUCCGUGCCAGCAGCCGCGGUAAUAC
rnacentral:rRNA from 1 species